UACGUAGGCAGCAAGCGUUGUUCGGAGUUACUGGGCGUAAAGGGCGCGUAGGCGGUCGUGACAAGUCACUUGUGAAAUCUCCGGGCUUAACUCGGAACGGUCAAGUGAUACUGUCGGACUAGAGUACAGAAGGGGCAACUGGAAUUCUCGGUGUAGCGGUGAAAUGCGUAGAUAUCGAGAGGAACACCUGCGGCGAAGGCGGGUUGCUGGGCUGAUACUGACGCUGAGGCGCGAAAGCCCAGGGGAGCGAACGGGG
rnacentral:rRNA from 1 species